CCCUCUGGGGUGCAGCAGGGAUGAAGAAGAGCGUCAUGUUCGACAGCAGGAAGUUGCCCACGUCCUGGAUCUGCUCGAGCUUGAGCACGCCGGUGCUGAGAAGCACGAACAGCACCAACAUGCCGAGCACGCUGCCCGGAAAGUUGACCGGGACCACGGCCAUCACGGCCUCGCAGGCAACGUAGAUGGCCAGGAUGAUGCCCAGCUGCUUCAACAGUUUCAUGAUCGCUCCACACUCCUGAUGCUCGGUGAUCCGAUCAGCCUAAGCGCCCCGGCCGAGUGCGCAGCGC
rnacentral:rRNA from 1 species